GGCCGGCGAAGACCCGCGCGAAGAAGUCAAUCGCCACCUUCAAGCUCCGGGAAGGCACCACCGUCGGCGCCGCCGUCACCCUCCGCGGCAAUGUUCGUCCAUUCUCCUCCCUCUUCUCUUCCUUCUUUUCCAAGCUUCUCUCUUCUUUUUCCUGUUUUCUCCAUGUUCUGCUGGGCUUCAAUUUUCUCUGGUUCAUCACCUGUUCUUCAUUUCAUCUGGUACAGGGUGGAUAUAAUAGUGUUGAUUGCCUUUUUUUUCUGAUAAUCUCGAUCUACAUGCAUUCUUCUAUUGGAAUAGUCUGCUAGUACCACCAAAUUGAUUGGGCACUUCUAAAUUUCUGGGUCACAGAUGAAUGCUGAAAAGUAUAUUUUUUGCUCUUCUUUUCUUGGAUGAUUCCCUCCUCCGUCUGCUGCCAUUUCAGUGGAAGAAGAUCGUUUUCCCUGUUUUUCUUCCCCUUUUUCCUAAGGGUUUAGGAGCGUGCUAGGUAAGGGUGCUGAGGUGAACCAGGUGGGGCUGCUCAUUCAUUAGGGUUCACGAUCAGAACAACAUGGUCGGCAGAUUUUAUGGAAAAAUAUAGCGAUGGCUUGAUUUGAAUAUUUUGUGAGAGUGAACUUACUGAUCCGUCAGUUCAUGGUGGAACAAUGUUUCAGCCUUGGAUUGCAGUCUUUUAGGGAACCGGGAAGGAUUUCUUUGCGAUAUUUGAUCCCAUCUUGAACGAUAAUCGGCGCUUAGAUAUUUCACAUCUAUGUGCAGAAAUUCUGUGAGAGGUUUGAAUAAUAGAACGAAAAUCCUUCUUAGAGAGCAGCCACAUUGGAACAGUCGGAUGAAAAUGUUGAUCGAAUUUCCUGACGUGAUGUAAACUUCGUUGAUUCCGGUGCAUAAAUUGUCAUGUUCGGAGAAACAGUACGAUAAUAAAAAUCUGGUUAUCUAUUUAGCUGGUGAAUUACUUCCUCGCUCUAGAAACCGUACGAUGUCUCCAAGCAAAUCCAGAUUUCCUGAUAUGAUUGAAACUUAUGUCAACGGUGAAUGCAGCAGAUCCUUAGUUGAUCCAUGUGCGGAAAUUGUCAUGUUCGGAGAAAUAGUCAGAAAAUAAAAAAUCUGUUAUCUAUUAGCUGCUGAAUUGCUUCCGGAACAUUGUCGCUCUAGAAACCGUACGAUGUCUUCAAGCAAAUCCAAUCCGAGACCGAACGACCUCACCUUACCUCUUCGGAAUUCUGUGAGUGCCGGCAUUUCAGUGCUGGUGAUUGCGCUGCCUUUGAUUUGAAUGAACUAGUAGAUCUGCAGAAGCAUCGAUCCGCUGAAUGUUUGAUCGAAUCUCCGACCGCCGGCGUUUUACGCCGUCCGUCUCAGCAGGAGCAGAUCUGAGAUCUGGUUUCCGUCCGCAGAUGAUGUACUACUUCCUCGACCGGCUGAUAAACCUGGGGCUGCCGCGGACGAGGGACUUCCAGGGCAUCAAUCCCAACAGCUUCGACGGCCACGGGAACUACAGCAUCGGAAUGCGGGACCAGAGCGUCUUCCCGGAGAUCAGGUACGAGGCCCUCGGCAAGCAGAGGGGGAUGGACGUCUGCAUCACCACCACGGCCAAGACCGAC
rnacentral:lncRNA from 1 species